CAUGGAUUAUAAGAAGCUUGGCGGAUGCUCGUAGCACCGUAUUCAGCUACUCUGCAGCAAGCGGCUCUAUCGCUCGACGGCCUCUCAUCCGUUCUGAACAUAUCGUUAAAAUGAAAUACUUCUCCUUGCUGUGUGUCCUCGUGCUGGUGGUGAUGCUGGCGCUGCCCUCAGCCCGCGGCUGCGACAGCUGCGGCAGCAACAGCCAGAAGAACGGCCCCGGCAGCAGCAGCAGCAGCAGCAGCAGCAGCGGCGACACCGGCAGCAGCACGUCCAGCACACAGACCGGUGGAGUUUUGAACAACUUCAUGGCUACCUCAAACAACUAAGCAGCGUAGAGUCAACGGACCCCCGGUACAACCAUACUUUCUACAAACUAUACGGACUUCCUGUAUUAUUUAUUGUUCUAUGUUCUGAAGAAAGAAGAGUUUGUCACUCUCACACUAAGAAGAAGAAUCCUAUUUAACCCUAAUUACCAAUAUUAAAUUUAAUAAAAUAAAUAUUUUAGUCGUUU